CCGGCGGCUCGAGUGGUAACCGUUAUUAUUGGGUCUAAAGGGUCUGUAGCCGGCCGGAUAAGUCUCUUGAGAAAUCUGGCAGCUUAACUGUCAGGCUUUCAGGAGAUACUGUCUGGCUCGAGGCCGGGAGAGGUGAGAGGUACUUCAGGGGUAGGGGUGAAAUCUUGUAAUCCUUGAAGGACCACCAGUGGCGAAGGCGUCUCACCAGAACGGACCUGACGGCAAGGGACGAAAGCUAGGGGCACGAACCGGAUUAGAUACCCGGGUAGUCCUAGCCGUAAACGAUACUCGCUAGGUGUCGGCCACGGUGCGACCGUUGUCGGUGCCGUAGGGAAGCCGUGAAGCGAGCCACCUGGGAAGUACGGCCGCAAGGCUGAAACUUAAAGGAAUUGGCGGGGGAGCACCACAACGGGUGGAGCUUGCGGUUUAAUUGGAUUCAACGCCGGAAAUCUUACCGGGACCGACAGCAAUAUGAAGGCCAGGCUGAAGACUUUGCCGGAUUAGCUGAGAGGUGGUGCAUGGCCGUCGUCAGUUCGUACUGUGAAGCAUCCUGUUAAGUCAGGCAACGAGCGAGACCCACGCCCACAGUUGCCAGCGUACUCUCCGGAGUGACGGGUACACUGUGGGGACCGCCGCUGCUAAAGCGGAGGAAGGAAUGGGCAACGGUAGGUCAGUAUGCCCCGAAUAUCCCGGGCUACACGCGAGCUACAAUGGUUGGUACAAUGGGUAUCUACCCCGAAAGGGGAUGGAAAUCUCCUAAAGCCAAUCUUAGUUCGGAUUGAGGGCUGCAACUCGCCCUCAUGAAGCUGGAAUCCGUAGUAAUCGCGUUUCAACAGAACGCGGUGAAUACGUCCCUGCUCCUU
rnacentral:rRNA from 1 species